rnacentral:lncRNA from 1 species
UCCUCUUUGUGCUGUGCCUACAAUUUUAAUAUCGGAUACAUUUCUAGUGUCUCCUUGAUAAUUAGCAUCUCUUAUAUCUUUGCCUAUGAAUUCCAAUGCCUUGAUGUGUUUUUCCUUCCUUUAUCCUUACUGUGUUAGUGUUGUGCAGCUGCCUGUAUGACGUGGGAGUUGGCAGAGUCAGGAAAGCACUUCAUCACUACAAUAAUAAAUGGUUCUGAUCUGGUGCCUACAUUUUAAACCGAUUAUGUGUUACCAACUCCUAUAUCCCAAAAUCUAACUGUUGUGAAAGCUGUUGGAGGGUUGGAUGGAGGGUUGAAGGAGAAUUUUACUAACUUGCAGGAAGGGGUAUCCAAAUGCUUCUAUAGAUGUUCUUCGUUCUGAG